rnacentral:rRNA from 1 species
AAUGAACGCUGGCGGCAAGCCUAAAACAUGCAAGUCGAACGCUGUAGCAAUACAGAGUGGCGCACGGGUGAGUAACAUGUGGGAAUAUGCCUUUUGGUACGGAACAACUUUUGGAAACGAAAGCUAAUACCGUAUGGUCCCUUCGGGGUAAAGAUCUAUCGCCAAAAGAUUAGCCCGCACUAGAUUAGCUAGUUGGUGAGGUAACGGCUCACCAAGGCGACGAUCUAUAGCUGUUCUGAGAGGAAGAUCAGCCACACUGGGACUGAGACACGGCCCAGACUCCUACGGGAGGCAGCAGUUAGGAAUAUUGGACAAUGGGCGCAAGCCUGAUCCAGCCAUGCCGCGUGAACGAUGAAGGCCUUCGGGUUGUAAAGUUCUUUAGCCGAUGAUUAUAAUGACUGUAGUCGGAAAAUAAGCCCCGGCUAACUUCGUGCCAGCCGCCGCCGUAA